rnacentral:rRNA from 1 species
UACGAAGGGUGCAAGCGUUAUUCGGAAUUACUGGGCGUAAAGCGUGCGUAGGUGGGUUGGUAAGUCUGCUGUGAAAGCCCUGGGCUCAACCUGGGAAUGGCGGUGGAUACUGACAAGCUAGAGUGCGGUAGAGGAGGGUGGAAUUCCCGGUGUAGCGGUGAAAUGCGUAGAGAUCGGGAGGAACAUCAGUGGCGAAGGCGGCCCUCUGGACCGGCACUGACGCUGAGGCACGAAAGCGUGGGGAGCAAACAGG